GAACGCAUAUUGCGCUCUUUGGUAUUCCGAAGAGCAUGCUUGUUUGAGUAUCAGUAAACACCUCAAAGACAUUUCUGAUUUAUUUUCUGGAAAGGCCUUUGGACUUGAGCAAUCCCAACACCAGUCCUUUACGGAUCGGCGGAGGGUUGCUUGAAAUGCAGGUGCAGCUGGACAUUCUCCUGAGCUAUAAGCAUAUCUAUUUAGUCCCGUCAAACGGAUUAUUACUUUUGCUGCAGCUAACAUAAAGGGAGUCUGACCGUAUUGGCUGACUGAUGCAGGAUUUCACAGGGGUUGGAAACGACUCUUGUAAAACUCGAUCUCAAAUCAAGUAAGACUACCCGCUGAACUUAAG
rnacentral:misc_RNA from 1 species